rnacentral:rRNA from 1 species
CCUACGGGAGGCAGCAGUAGGGAAUCUUCCACAAUGGGCGAAAGCCUGAUGGAGCAACGCCGCGUGGGUGAAGAAGGUCUUCGGAUCGUAAAACUCUGUUGUUAGAGAAGAAAGAGCGUGAGAGUAACCGUUCACGUUUCGACGGUAUCUAACCAGAAAGCCACGGCUAACUCCGUGCCAGCAGCCGCGGUAAUACGUAGGUGGCAAGCGUUAACCGGAUUUAUUGGGCGUAAAGGGAACGUAGGCGGGCUGUUAAGUCUGAUGUGAAAGCCUCGGGCUUAACCGGAGUAGUGCAUUGGAAACUGGCUGACUUGAGUGCAUAAGAGGAGAGUGGAAUUCCAGGUGUAGCGGUGAAAUGCGUAGAUAUAGGGAAGAACACCAGUGGCGAAGGCGGCUCUCUGGUCUGUAACUGACGCUGAGGUUCGAAAGCGUGGGUAGCAAACAGGAUUAGAUACCCUUGUAGUC